GCUGCUGAGGUUGAUGUGGUAUCGUUGCACCUGGCUUAUAUCCAGCGAUUGAGGGUUCGAUUCCUUCCGGCAGCA
rnacentral:tRNA from 1 species